UUCCCAGCCGGGUCAAAGUUCAAUUGCGUGUUACGUGCCAAACACAAGCACUGGGCUGUUUUAGCUGCCAAGAGUCUCACUCGUGCACUGUUUGAUUUAGGUUAUAGCCAGAAUCUUCAAGAGGGAUGCCUAUAUAGAGUUGCUCAGUGCCUCCACCUCGAUCCAAGCAAGUGUGUGCAGUUGCACCUCAGGAAGUUGCACCUCAGUUGACAAAUGAUGCAGGAGAGAUGGAGAAAGUGAAAAAGAGUCUAUUCCCAAUAGUAUAUAUACAACUGCAGGUACAAGUAUACUGCAACAGCAUGAUGCGAGUACAGAUUGAACAUGCAGCCAUGGCAUGCAUGCAUGCCGCAUGGGGAUGUUAUUCCACGAUCAUGCAUUGAGUGAUAUAACAUCCAAGGAAAUGUCCAAAAACCUGACUUGCCUCCAUUUUUUUAGAUACAGAAGAACAAUGGCUCAGAAUUUAUGUCUCUAAACUCAC